rnacentral:rRNA from 1 species
CUACAGCUGGAUCAUUUU